rnacentral:rRNA from 1 species
AUGUCUCACUUAGCAGAAGCUGCUUUCAUUUUAGCUAGCGGAGGCAAGUCAUCGGCCCUGUCCCACAGGCCAUCAACCCAUAUCCAUCAUGCCCAAUACACUCCCAUGGACGAGUAUGACAAGGUGUGGUACACUGAAAGUUUAAAGCGUAAAAGAAACCAAAUUUGCAUUUCAUGGAUAAGGAUACUAACCGGAGAUCGUAGAUGGGUCGGCUAUGAACAUUUGGGUGCUUCACAGCUCUUGGAGGGUGCAAGAAGGGAGGCCGGGUCACGUACUUAUGCAAGUUGCUAUACAAUGCCUAACUAUCUUUACAUGUCGGAUGGCAUGUACAAUAGACACAGACAAAUGUAG